GUCGGCGACCGGCGCACGGGUGAGUAACGCGUAUCCAACCUUCCCCUUAGUAGGGCAUAGCCCGGCGAAAGUCGGAUUAAUACCCUAUGUUUUCCGAUGAGGACAUCUGAGCUGGAAUAAAGAUUUAUCGCUAAGGGAUGGGGAUGCGUCUGAUUAGGUAGUAGGCGGGGUAACGGCCCACCUAGCCUACGAUCAGUAGGGGUUCUGAGAGGAAGGUCCCCCACAUUGGAACUGAGCCAUGAUCAAACUC
rnacentral:rRNA from 1 species